AAUUAGAUACAUCAACAUGAUUCCUUACCAUCUCAUCUAUGUUUCUAACACUGUUUAUUAUAUUUCAACUAAAAGUCACAAAGUAUACUUAUUACCCCAACCCAGAAUCAACACGCACCAAAGUGUAAAAACAGUCCACCCCUUGAGAAACAAAAUGAAUGAAAAUCUAUUUGCCUCUUUCAUAACCCCAACAAUAAUAGGCCUCCCUGUAGUUAUUUUAAUUAUUAUGUUUAAAAGUAUUUUAUUUCCAACAUCAAAAUGACUAAUAAUCACAUAAUUUCCCUUCAACAAUGACUAGUCCAACUUACAUCAAAACAAAUAAUAAGCACCCAUAAUCACAAGGGACAGGCUUGAUCAUUAAUUCUAAUAUCACUCAUUUUAUUUAUUGGGUCAACCAACCUUCUAGGACUACUUCCCCACUCGUUUACACCCACCACGCAACUCUGAGUAAAUGUAGGAGUAGCAGUUCCCCUAUGAGCGGGCACCGUGAUUACAAGUUUUCAUAACAGAACAAAAAUAUCUCUAGCUCACUUCUUGCCACAAGGCACACCCUCCCCCCCUCAUCCCCAUACUAGUGAUUAUCAAAACUAUUAGCCUGUUUAUCCAACCAGUAGCACUAGUUGUGCGAUCAACAGCCAAUAUUACAGCAGGACAUUUAUUAAUACAUCUAAUUGGAGGGACAACUUUAGCACAGCAUCAGCACUACCACAGCUUUUAUUACAUUCAUCAUUCUUACCCUACUUAACUAUCCUCGAAUUUGCGGUUGCUAUAAUUGAAGCCUAUGUGUUUACCCUCCUAGUAAGCCUUUAUCUGCAUGACAAUAAUAAUGACCCACCAGACCCACACAUGCCACAUAGUAAAGCCCAGUCCUUGACCCCUUACAGGAGCCCUUUCAGCCCUCCUAAUAACAUCGGGCCUAAUCAUGUGAUUCCACUUCAACUCAAUAAUACUACUAAUAUUAGGCCUACUAACUAAUACUCUAACAACGUAUCAGUGGUGGCGAGAUGUUAUUCGGGAGAGCACUUUCCAAGGCCACCAUACACCAAUUGUCCAAAAAGGGCUUUGAUAUGGGAUAAUCUUAUUUAUCGUCUCAGAAGUCUUCUUUUUUACCAGCUUCUUUUGAGCCUUCUAUUACUCAAGCCUCGCCCCUACUCCUGAAUUAGGCGGGUGCUGGCCACCAGCAGGCAUUUGCCCUCUAAACCCCCUAGAGGUACUGCUUCUCAACACUUCAGUGCUACUAGCCUCUGGCGUGUCUAUUACUUGAGUCCGCCACAGCCUUACGGAAGGAAAUCACAAGCACAUACUCCAAGCCCUCUUUAUUACAAUUGCCCUGGGCAUAUAUUUUACACUCCUACAAGCCACAGAGUAUUAUGAAGCUCCACUUACAAUCUCAGAUGGAGUAUAUGGAUCAACUUUCUUCAUGGCCACAGGGUUCCAUGGACUGCAUGUAAUCAUUGGGUCCACCUUCCUUAUUGUCUGUUUUCUGCGCCAAUUAAAAUUCCACUUCACAUCCAACCACCACUUCGGCUUUGAAGCCGCUGCUUGAUACUGACAUUUUGUAGAUGUUGUGUGACUAUUCCUUUACGUAUCCAUCUAUUGAUGAGGCUC